rnacentral:lncRNA from 1 species
AUUUGGGUAAGCUGGUGACAAUGACUCCAAAGAUCAUCCAGAACCUUCACACCAAGGAGGGAUUGGCUAACCAUGGACUGAAAGAAGGGGACAACUGGAUGAGGAGCUGGUAAAGCCAGAAAAUCUCAGUAAGUAUCACAGGUGGUAUCUCACAUGGGGUUGUGCAGCACCAGCUUUCCAGGUAUCCUCACUCCAAACCUCUGCCCACUCUUCAACACCAGACCCUGGGAAGGAAGAUAAAAAUAUUUCCAUCUUCCACAAGAGUUCUGAGCAAAGCCUGGCCAGCCUCUGAAGUCAUACCAAGAAAGUCACCAUUGUGGGGUUUCAGCCUUCCCUGCUGUUUUCUGCCUUCCCAGGUGCUAAUAUCACAAUUUAGUUGAUCUCAAAUGUCACUUGUGUGCAAGGUGUUUGGGCCUAGAAGAGCUCUGAGACAGAUCUCAGCCUCCAUGCUACUGGUGACUAUCUCCUGAGCUCCUUCAGUGACCAAUCCUGGGUCUUCUCCAAUGUCUUGACAGGGCGUGUGCUCACCAAGGUGACAGAUGAGACCUUCUGAUGCUCUCUUGCCCGUGCACACUUCCAUUCUCUGAGUCUUUUGGGUCAAGAUCUGAGCUUUCAGGGAGCACACCAAUGGCAUGAACCUCUCUGAUGCCUCUGAGCCCAGCCUUAGCAUUCUCUUCUUCAUGAGCUACUACCUGUCUACAGCAGCCAACAACUCUUCUGUCAAACUCUUGGGUCUAUGCAAGGUUAAGAGCCAUAAGGCACUGCAGUUGCAUAACACUUUGAGGUGAAGUCGUUAAUCUUUGACCACAAUAGUACCUAACUGGUUCUCAAGGAUAAGAAUGUGCAAAUCUGUAUCUGCCAGAAGUGGACAGAGAUUCUUCACUUUAUAAAGCUUAGC